UACGUAGGCAGCGAGCGUUGUUCGGAAUUACUGGGCGUAAAGCGUGCGUAGGUGGUUUGUUAAGUCUGCUGUGAAAGCCCCGGGCUCAACCUGGGAAUGGCAGUGGAUACUGGCAAGCUAGAGUGCGGUAGAGGGGUGUGGAAUUCCCGGUGUAGCGGUGAAAUGCGUAGAGAUCCGGAAGAACACCAAAGGCGAAGGCACCAUCCUGGGGAGUCACUGACGCUCGGGUGCGAAAGCUAGGGGAGCGAACGGG
rnacentral:rRNA from 1 species